GCUCGCCCCGGAUCGUCCGGCUCCAUAAGCCGGUCUCCCGCUUCGGCUCGGCUUUGUUUGACUCGCCACUCCUCCUCCUCCUCGUCACUUCCACGAAUCAUCGAAGCACGAGAAGGAGAACAAGGCGCCCCGCCUUCGACGCUUGAUAUUCGCCAUUGCAGCCUUCUUAGAAUCCCGGAGAAAACUGCCUUUUUAUUUAUUUUUAACUAUUAACAUAAAUUUUUUAGUUUUUCAGUUCCAAAAUUAUCCUUAUCUUCUUCAACAAAGAGUUUAAUGUUUUUUAAUAAAAAAGAAAAAUGAAAUCCAAACGCCCUUAUAAAAAAGGAUUCACCAAACAUCCUUUACGCCAAAAUAAUUUUACAAAUAAUUUUUUAUCGGAUGCAAAUUGUAUUUCUCCAAAACUCUUUAGGCUAAAGAUAUUUAUAUUUUUCCAAGGCCCAUUCCCAAGGCUAAACCAAACGCAGCCUGAAAGGGUUUUGUGUGGUUCUAUAGGUUCUUGUUGUUCACUUCUUUCUUGAAUGCCAUUUCCCGUGUAGAAGAGAAUUCAAAAGUUAAGACUGAUGCGAAUAAAUGGGUAAAAAAAAAGUUGUUUCCCACUGAAUCUUUGAGUUUGCUAAUGCUGAUGGACUGAAAUACGGGCAAAUUCAAAUGCAGCUUUAUCUUAGCUUGUGUAUAUUAACACCACAAAUGAACCGGGGAUUUUGUUCCUUUUUUGUGUGCUAGCAUCAGUCGCUGAACUAAAGUAAUUACAAAAUCAUGCAAGAUAGAAGGAAUAAGGCUUCUUUCCUAACAUGAGAAAGAAGGGUUUGAUGUAGAACAAAUGAGAAGGGGUUGUUAGAACUGGAUUGUGUACUCCGAGUAAAGAUGCAGAAAAUUAUAGUGGUUCUGGGUCGUCUAUUAACCGUAGAAGGUCUUGUAACUAUAGAAUACCGUAAUUUUAGAUGGCCGUUGCCUUCUGGGCUUUGUUGUGGUGUUACUUUGUAGAAAUUUUGCUUUGAUGACCAUGGACAUGUAGUACUUUGGGAAUUUCAGAUCCAAUUCUAGGUAAUUUGCAGGAAAAAUUAAGUGAUGCUUUUGAUUCAAGAGGCAAAAUAUGAGUCCAUUAACUCGGGUAUUUGAUGCUGUAGUGAUAGUAUUUUCAGUUAAACUCAUUUUUCUUUCCUCUGCUGGUCUGGUUUCUAGUAAAGGAUAGGGCAUCUUAUGAUUGAGUACAGAACUGUAUGGCCUUUUGCCCCAUUCAUAAAUUUUAACUUACCAAGUUACCAUCUAGAAUUAUAGUAAUCCCAUCCUAAGACCUACUCAUGUUCUAUAACCACAUUUAAACUAUUAUUUUAUUUUAUUCUUUUAGAUUCACCUUUAAUUGCUGCCUUUUUAGUCCUUUAGCUCUCCGAUUUCAUGUAUAAACCAUUGUUCGAUGGUCUGGGAGAUGCCUAUCUUAUGAUUACCAAAAACAGAGAUCCAAAACAGUUCUUGGCCAGGAAAAAGGAUUUGUGUUCAAAUUUUCUUUUUUCCAGUUUCAGUUAAAACUUUCAGUUCAGUUUCUCCCCCAACAUUAUCGUUUUUCUUCGGCUUUGAAAAGAUGCUCCAGCAUCAAGCAACGUACAUAUCUAUGUAGCAGUCAUGCUGGCUUCCAUGAUCAAUUCUUCUUGCGUUGGUAUAUUUAUCCAAUGGUUGUCCUUACUUCAUCUGUUUAUCCACCAAAAUUAUAUGUUUCCUCAUUUGACUUUUAUCUUUUUGUUUUUCUUUUCUUUUUUUCUCUCCCCCAGAUGCGUCUUUUCAUGACACAAUUGGAAUAUGCUGAUCGACUUGCUGCUGCUGGAAGUCUCCAUCCUAUUACCUUAUCCUGGUAUAUCUCCUUCUGGAUCGAUGGCCAUUUGAACCUCUAGCUUUGUUCCAGAGGGGUGCACAUUCAGUUAUUAAGAUAUGUAAUUAUAAGCUUAGGUAAUUUAGAUCUCCAACUCAGUCCGCCUAGUGAAUUUGAAAAGGAAAUUUGAGUGUGUGGCGGAACCCUGUCCUUGCCAUGUGGGAUGAACCUUUCUGAAUUUGUCAUAUUGAGCAUAUAUUUGAAAAUGCUUAGUGCUGAAUCUCUCUUUCAUCCAACAUUUAGUAAAUUUACUAUCUUGCUUGGAAUAUCGAUUGGAAAGAGUCAAUCCAUUCGAGUGAGAAUAUUAUACCCCAUCAAAUAAUGGUAGUAAUUCUCAUAUAUUGUGUUUUUAUGGUAAGUCAAGAAGUACUAAUGGUGGACCCAUUACAUUAUUUGGUUAGUCUUGUCUUUGGGUGGCUUUAUUGUGCUGCUGUCCACUGGGAGGAGUAGCUUCUGAGAGGAUUCACACUUAAAUGAUGUUAGUAAUUCCUAUGUAUUGUGUUUAAUAAUUGCUACAACGAGUUUUAAUGGGGGCCUGUUUCAUUUUUUGGUUGGUUUGGUCUUUGGAUGGCCUUGACAUGUAUACGUGUUUCCUAUGCUUCUGUCCUUUUGGAAGGAGCAGCUUGUGAGUAAUGACUAAGAAGUACCUUUAUGAUGCUAUAGUUUAAGAGAGCAUUGGUUUGAUAUAUGUCGGCUUUAGAUCACAUAUGUUUAUAGCUCAUGCGUCUCCCUAAAAAGAAAGUUCGAAGUUUUAGGACUAUACCCAGAGAGACCUUCUGUCCUAUACGGUUUCGGAAUCCCCUCAACUAAGCCCUUUGCAAAGCUGGGCUGCGUUUGGACCCGAACCUUGACAGCUUCAAAGGGACAUAAUAGAGCCACGUUUGCGAAUACCUGAGCAGAAGCGCUGCUUAGAAAUAAUAUGAGACUCCUGUUGUGGUCAACCAACAAAUCAGAGUAAAGUUCUUGAAGUACUCGUAGAGACCGAAUUUACAGCCGCCCUGGAUGCCGUAUCCAAACAACUUGCCGGACCAACCUCUCCAAAGAGAAGAAGGCCCUUGCUCUUUCCAGAGAACUGAUAAUCCCGAUGCCAUGCUGUUAUAUUUAAUCGGAUUAACCUGGAGCAUACUAAUUAACUUUGGCUAUCAGAUGGGAAGUUAUAGAGUCUGGAGGACACCGCUAAAAUAGAUUAAGGGAGCCGAUUGGCACCAGAGUGAUACCGCUAAAAUGCCUAAGGCUAUCACAUGGCUGACCUCAUAAUGCACUACUUAGAUUCAGUUAACUUGAGGUUUUCCUUUUCAUUUCUCCAUGAUGGAAAGAGCAUAGAUGUGAGAAAUGACACCAUCCCACUUCCAUUGAUACAAGAGAAGAAUUUAGACCUUACUCUGUCACGGUAAUGGUACAGUAUGAAAUCCUUUGCAUUAAGCUACAAACGUGUACGAAAAUGGUAUCUUCCAUAGAUUUUAGGCCGGACACUGAAUGAAAGUCCACACCCCCUUCUCGUGUAACUUACACAGAGGCACACGCACAAGAGAAAAUAACAAAAAACGAGAAUCAUGCAAUCCAUGUGAAGUGGAGCGUAAGAAAGAGGCAAAUUGGGUCUCGUCAGCAAUAAAGCACAAAAGAAAUGGAUGAGCAAUUGUUUCGCCAUGCAAUAUUGGUUCAGCAUCAGAAGGUACAGGGGAUCACAAUGUUGUUGCAAAGCUACAGGAAUGCUGACAUUUGGAAAGGCACUAAUACAAAUUAAUCAAGCAAAUGCCUUGUCAAGCAAAGUUUCUCGUCGAGCUUAUUUGGGUACAACACAGCAAGAGCCAAACAUGCAACCGCGAAACCAGAGCAUUGUUACUGCAAUGUACUUAAAAAGAAAUACUAAUUCUGAAUUUGGCAAGUGACUUCCUUAGUUUCAAAAUAUGGAAGAAGAGAUCUAAGUGGAAGUGCUCUCCAACUGAACAGAAUGACAUAUAAUGUCGUGUUGGGAUUACUUUUAUACUCCUUUUUUGAGCGGGUGAGAUGAUGUCCAAACCAGAUUCUGAGCACCUCAACUGGGUUUAUUUUAUUAGGCAAAUUUCAGAGCGCAUUCCUUGAUGUCGCCCCAAUGCAUUUUGGUUUUCCACUCUUGGAAUGCUCUCAAAAAGACCUGAUGCAUUUGGGGUGCACUCCUCCAUAUCGACCCAGAACGUCCUUACUCAUGAUAAACUAAAAUUGUGGUUGCCUCCCAUUUUUGAUAUAAUCAACAUGGUAUUUUUUAUUUAUUUUUUAAUUUAUAUGUAUUUAUUAAAUAAAGGGAUAUGCGUUUGAUACAACCUAAUCCACUAAUUACUUUACAGGAUUUUACUUUGGCAAUGCUCUAAAAAAACCUUGAAUCCAAAAUCACAAAGAGAUAGCAAACUCUUUUACAUUUAGGCUUUUGGGAAGACCAUCUAAUUCUCCAGAAAGAAAUAAUGUAAACCCUCUUAUUGUUUUUACUAGACCAACAUAUCCCCCCCGUAGAUAAGCCAAUCCAUGGAUCCAUUCUGUAAUAGUAGGGAUCAACCAAGAUGAGCCCAUUAGUCCACGUCUUGCUCUCGUUGCUUGGAAACCGUCGGUUCUGUUUGCUUGUCUUAUUAUACUUGCAACAGACAAAAGACUUAGGAAAAAGAGUCGAUGGUGUGACAAACUUCAACCUUUGCACAGCGGAGAAACUCGACUGCUCCGUACAAAAGGUUUGGUAAGAAAAGAAACAACUCUCUCUGCGAACAGGAGGAUGGGGUAAAACCGUGUUGACGUCACAUGUUCUUCUGUUUUAUCCCUUAAGCAUUGAGAACGUGGCAAAUAUUCAUAAGAUAUCUCAAGGAAUAUACUUUCUCGUGAUUAGACCCUUCCCUUAUGUCGUCUGUUGAAUUUGAAAAGGAAAAUAUUGAGUGUGUGGUGGAACCCUUUCCUUGCCGUGGGGGAGGAACCUUUCUGAACUUGUCAUAUUAAGCAUAUAUUUGAAAAUGCUCAGUGCUGCAUCUCUCUUUCAUCCAACUUCUAGCAAAUUUACUAUCUUGCUUGAAAUAUCAAUUGGGAGGAGUCAAUUUGUCGAGUGAUAAUGUAAUCCAUUAAAUGAUGGCAAUAUUUCAUAAUAUGUGUUUUUUUGGUAGUCAAGAAGUACAAAUGGUGGAUCCAUUACAUAUUUGGUUAGCUUGUCUUUGGAUGGUUUUACUGUCUUGCCGUCCUUUUGGAGGAGUAGCUUAUGAGAGGAUUCACACUUAAAUGAUGCUAGUAAUUUUCAUUUUUAUUGUGUUUAAUAAAAUGAGCCAAGAAGUUCUAAUGGGGGACUUGUUUCAUUUUUCAGUUGGUUUGGUCUUUGGAUAGUCUUGUCAUGUAUGUUAAAUUAGUGUCUCGAAUUUGAAUUUGGAUAAUAAUUUGUUAAAUCGAAUUUUAUCGAGAAAGAUUUUUUCAAGCAGAUUACAAAUCGGAUGAAGAAAUCUUUUAUCUUAUUGGAUAUAUUUUUGGAUGUGAAAAAAUCACUACAAGAAAAAAGAGUAAAUAUAUGAGAUAAAAGAAAAAUGAAGAAAAAGGAAGGUUUUCUUCCCCUUACUUGCAGCGUACGAAUCCAAGGAAAGAGACAUGGGGCCAAAGUCAAAGUCUUUACAGUCUUGACCUUGGGCACUAAGACCCCGUUUGGUUCAGCAUUUGGGAAAAAGCUUUUCCAAAAUGCAAAUGUCUUUAGCUCAAAGAGCUUUGAGGGAAUGUUAGACUGUUUGGUAAACUAUAACUGGAAAGUGCUUUGGGGAAAUGCAAGACGGUUUGAUAAAUAUAUACUUGAAAAGCUCUUUGGUGUGAUCAAAUUAAAAUUUUUACUUUUAAUAUUUUAAAAAUUGCAAAAAAGAAAUAAUGACUAUAUAACAUUUUACAUUUUCAAGUUGAGAGUAAUGUAAAAGAUACAUAUUAGUAAAUUUAUUUAAAAAUUAUAUUAAAAGAAUUUGAUUAUAGAUUAAUCAACUUUUGGCCUGGGGUUCUUUUAGGUUUGUUUUCAACUUUGAAUAUUUUUUUAAAUUAUUACAGUAUUAAUCAUUUUCAUUAAUUAAUGAUCAUUUUAGUGUAUUGAUAAAAAGUUGGGUUAUUAAUUGUUAAAAGAUAAAAAUGAUAUAAAAAAAAAAGAUGAACUUAUUCGGUGGACGAUGAAGCGACCGAUUGUGGAUGCUAAUUUUUUUGAAUAAGCACUGCAUAUAAAAAUGGAGGUCAUCAUUAAGAAAAAUAAAACAAAGUUCCUCUCAUACAAAUUUGACUAGAAAGAGUCAUUUCAUGAUAGUACACAUGGUCAUAUAUGUCCGAAAAAAAGAAAUAUGUUAUACUUAAUAUUACAAACCUCAAUGAUUUUGUAAACUUAUGGCUAUUUCAUCACGUAAAUGUGCCAUGUCUGAAGAUGCAUACGGAUUUGAAGCACCCACCCCUUCAUUUGCAUCCUCAUGGUCAACUGAAUAUUCAUAAUUGAGAUCCAAUUAUGCUUGUUCAAAAUCCGUAUCAGUCACGUUAUUUCUCCGUAUAUAAUUGUGCAAAGUCAUUGCCGCUACCACAAUUUGCACUUGCUUUUCAUAUGGAUAACUUGGCAUAUGAGUUAAAAUCCCCCACUUCUGUUUUAAUACACCAAAGGCUCGCUCAAUUGCCGAGCGUAACGAGGAAUGGGCACGGUUGAACACUUCUCGAUAUCCCGUAGGUGAAGGACCUCCUCGAAACUCUGGCAAAUGAUAUCUAACUUCUUUAUAUGGCCCCAAAUAACCAAUCAGAUUUGGAUAUCCAGCAUCUACUAAGUAAUAUUUACCUAUAUAAAUAUAUUAUAAAUUUAAUCAACAUAUGCCAAUUAGAUUUAUGAAUGUAUCUAAACCAUUGAAUAACAUACCUGGAGGAGGAUGGGGAAAAUGUGCAUCACGUCUUCUAAUAGCUUCAUAAAAGAUACGGGUAUCAUGAGCUUGUCCCUCCCAACCGGCCCAAACAUAGACAAAUUCCAUAUUAAAAUUACAUAUGGCUAACACGUUUUGAGUUGUUGUUCAUUUUCGACCAAUAAAACGAAUUUAAUCAAACGCAGGUACAACCGCUGGAAUAUGUGUACCGUCAAUAGCUCCAAUACAAUCCUUAAAAUAUUGAUAAAAUCGUCGAUCUUUUUUUAUAUUCUCUGGAACUUUUCUAUAUUGUGGAUCGGUUGGUUGGAUUAAAUCUUUUCCCCUAUCACAUACUUUAUCUAAAACUAAGCUGAAGUGUCUACUGAUGGUUUCUUCGAAGCGUUGAAAACGCUAUUGUGCUAAUCUAUUACCUAUACUAUGUCCUAGAACAUGAAGAAACAUACCAACCAUUUCUCUAACAUUGGUAUUCCUAGAUCCUCGAAGGCCAUAACGUGUUACUAAAUCAUGCGUUAAAUUGUUAAAUACAAUCUUAUGCAUUCUAAACAUAUUGUAGCACCUUAUCGGAUUAGCAUCUUCGCUAAUCAACUCUUUUAACUAUACAUAACCCGUAUAUGUUGAGGUCAUGUAAGGUUGUUUGCAAAGGUUGGUCGCUUGAUAAAGAAUUGCGACUUCAGUGACCGAGAUAAGAUCACGUAAUUUAUUUUCUUCUUGCUCAUAAUUUUCCUUUGUAUGUGAAUAAUCCAUAACUGCUUCAAGUAACAAAAUAUAAAGAAAAAUAAUGUAUUAACCAUCACAUAUAUGCAAACUAUCACAUUAAGAGAACACCAAAUGAAAACCAUUCUAACAUCAAACAUUAAUUGAAAUUAGGUUCACAAUAAUUGCAAAUAAAGAUCCAUAGAUGGAAACAAAGUGGAAUGACUAAACUUUAAAUAUUAAAACAAUAAGAUGCUAACAUCCUAUCCACGAAGACUUGAUUCUUUUCUCGACUCAUAUUUGAGAUACUUUAUUUUCUUUGCAUUAUCCUUUAAGCUCAUGAAAACUUGCCUAUUGUCUAUCUUUUCCUUUAAAUGAGAAAUUGCAAAAAAGUACAAGUCUUCGUCUUCCACAAUCUCAGGAAUGGAAUCCAAUAUCUCUAUGAGAUCCUCAUAAGGACCGACUAAACUGGUUGCUUUGGAUGCAACACUAGCAGUGCUCAUACUCUCAACAACUGUAAGUAGCCUGUUAAUCUGUGUUCCGAGCUCCUCUCUUGUGUUCAAUUUCUUAUCUUUUUUUCCUCGAGCUUGCAUCUUUGAAGUCUGUGCGGCUUUCUUACGAGUUUGAGUUCCAGUUGGUUCAACAAUGGUUUCAUCCACAUGAUCCUCAAAGUUUUCAUCAGUUAGACCCUACAAUAUCAUCGAUACCAGGUUGUGUGGUCUCCAUAUCAUUAUCAACACAUAAACCUUGUGCAGGAUUCAAUGUGAUUCCUCCAGUAGCAACUGUAUCUCUGAAUAUCAUAUCUAACUUUACUUCAAGAUCAGGAUGUAUGUCUUUCAUCCUAAAAGCCUUAAACUUUGGAUUAGCCUGUUGUCAUGAAGCAUUUGCAUAAGUUAUAUUAUUAAAGGUGAGCUUAACAUGAAAGUAAAAAAAGAGUGAGGAAAACCUGAAUUUUACUCUCCCACCAUUCGUUACUCGCAUUAGUGGUUUUCUUCUUUGAAUCUCAUCCUAAUCCAGUUUCAUUGUAAAGCAAUGACUUCCAUCUUUUCCAAUCUUCCUUGAGGUUAUCCCACUUACUCUUCAUUUUAUGUUUAUCAUACUUUUUGCCCGUUAGCUCAUCAAACUUACUAAUUAUGACUGUCUAUCCAUCUCUUUUGUUGUUUGCAGGACGAUUGGCUUUUUCAAUUUGUUCGAUGCAUAACUUACAAAAGAUUUCUACAUCUUCCGAGCUCCAAAAUGCCUUUUUCUUUGAUGAACUCAUUUACUAGUAAAGAACAAAUUUAAGAGACACAAACAAACAAUAUCAACCACUCAAGCCCUCUCUUAUUAAAAAACUAGAUAUUCACUUAAAGAAAAGAAAACUAACAUUGAGAAAAAAUAAGGACACAUAAAAACAUUAUACUUAAAAACAAAGUAGGAUGUCAAUGUGGAGGAACUAUAUAUCUCGCAUGAGCUGAAUCCACCUCAAUUGAUCUUCCCCGAUACACAUACGUGGAGUUUGUUGCUUAAUAUAUCUUACGCACUUACUAUCUCAAACAGAACAAUUGCCAUAUAAGAUAAUCAUAAGAUACACAUACGUGGAGUUUUUCAUUUGUUUAUUCAUUUGCUUUAAUUACAACAAUAAAUUAAACCAUCAAGGAGUCAUGUUGAGCAUUUCGUUAUUGUUUCUAAGUUAUCUCUCCUGUAAUUCGGGCAAAAUGAAACCAAGACGUGGGUGUCAAAUAGGUAGGUGUUUUUUUAUGACCAUAUAUCAUCUUGCAAACCAAAACAGAGAAUAUUGCUGCUCUCACCCUAUUCUAUUUCCCUAAAGUAGAUAACACACUUUAACUUUUUGAACUGUAGGGAAUAGGACACAUUACCUUUCAUGGGUGCUCUAACUUUGGAUUAUAUCGAAUUGUGCAAAUUCCUUUCACUUGAAAUGUGCUUGAUAUAUUUUAAUAAAGUACCAGUUAAACUGGCAUGUCAAGACUGCAACCUUGAAAUUCCUAUGCCCUCCCCAAACAAAUAAAAGAACUACCUAGGAAAUAGUUCACUUAGAGACAUUACUUUACCUAGACAAGAGUAUAUAGAGACUUUCACAUAAUUACUGAAUAGAUACUAUAAUUUACUUGCCCAAAGCUGUUCUUACAAUGCAUUCAUAUGGCAGACCUGUUAUAGCAACAUGUUUAAGAGGCAUGAUCAUGCUGAAAGUAUUGAUGAUAUCACAUAUUUUGCCUUAAAAAGGAGAAUCUGUCAGCUCCAAUUACCAUUAUUUCAGUGGCAAAACUAACUUUACUUUGGAAUUGCCAUAAACAUCUUAAUUCAUAGUAGGACCUUGUUACAAUUUCUUCGGUCAAAAGUCCGCAACUUCUUCAAAAAGUAAUUCACAGAAUCAGCACAAUCAAUCAGAACCGCACAAGUAAAAUUGCAGCGCCAAAAUUUUCCCCUCUCAUCACGCCAAAUCUGAUAAAGCCGAUCAGCAAUCAUAUAUGGCCCCAUAUCAAGCCAUGCCGCACAAACACCCAAUGCUACCGAUACUCCGGCAUAAUCAAACUCGCCACUCGGAAAACAGUUUCCCACUCAAAAAAUUUCUAAAAAGACCUACACAACUGAUCCAAUCCCGAAACACACCCACCAGCACAUAAACUACCGAAACGCAUGCAUGCAAAGAGGGGGGAAACAAAAACCCUCCUUCCCUAGAACACACAGACAAGAAAAAAAAAAACUCUGAACAAGUCAAAAAAGCACAGAGCUUGCACCUGGUCUGCUGCUUCCUUCUUCCUCCCCUUUGCUUCAGCGUCCCCACGGAUGCGACUCUAAAUCCUGUCAAUUAGGAAAACACGCGAUCGAAGUCAAGACCUGGGUCUCUCUCUCUCCCUCAUCGGGCGAAAACAAGAAAACAUUAAAUACCCAGCGAAGCGGGGAGGGGCAAGAACGACAACACCAGAAAAACAGAAUCAUACCCACGAAUUGAAAUUGAACAAACACCCAGACGGACAAACAAGAAUAGGGGGAGAAAAGAGAGAGGGAUCGCUAUUGCAGAGUGGCAACCGAAGAGAGAGAGAGAGAGAGAGAGAGAGAGAGAGAGAGAGAGAGAGAGUGUGUGUGUGUGUGUGUGUGUGUGUUUAGAGAAACCGAAAUGAGAUUGCAAAGGAAAAAUCCAGCAGAUCUAGAAAACUAGAGAGAGAGAGAGAGCUGAUUUGGGGACCCGAGAAACCCUAGGGAUCAAACCCAGAGCGAGGGAUGAAAUCGAAUGAUCUCUUGCUCUUCGCGGAGGCAACAACACAGAGAGAGACGAUAGGAGAAAUCAACUCAGCAGAAUCGCAUUCCACAAGGGAAGUCUUCUUCUCAAGGAGGUCCACUCACCCGGGGAUCGAACCGAGAGGGCGUCGGCCUUGUGAUCAGCAAACCCGUGCGGCGCCUCGAGGGAGAGAGAGAGAGAGAGAUGAGGACGACUGGUUGCGAGAGUGGAGGCGAUGCUGCGAGAAUCGGCGAGAGCGGACGUGCGAAGAAGAAAAGAGCGGUCGAGAAAGGUAGGGUUGAGAAAGGUAGGGUUAUGUUUUGUAUGGGAUAAAAUGGGACUUUUAAUAAAAUUUUGAGGGCAAAAUGGGCAAUAAGAAAAAAUUCAUUAACCCUCCCACCAGCAUCCCGAAAAUGCUGAAAUGCCAAAAGCCGGUCCCCACCAGCUUUGGGCUUUCAGCAUUUUACAAGCAAGCAUUUUGGCAAGGAGCCUUCAAAUGCUGAACCAAACGGGGUUAGUUUUUUCCCAAGGGGCUUUGGGGGUUCAAAGCCCCUUGGGAAAGCUGAACCAAACGGGGCCUAAAAGCCAAAAGGGACGUGAAGCCUUUUGCACGUCCACGUCGCCUAAGAGUGGAGCCACGAAAAGAAAAGCUGGAGAGCGCUGCGUGACGAAAGAAACGUGACGGAAAAAAAAAAAAAAAGGCAAGAGCCGCAGGUCCAGGAGAAGAGUGACGCCCCACGUAGCUUUGAACAAAAAAUGAACAAAAACGUGAAUCCAUACGUAUGCAGACCAAAGAUGAACGCUGGAGUUCUUGAAUUUGGCGUACGUAGAGCGUUUUAUUUUAAGCUUGAAUAUGCGGUAAUUUUGUAUAGUGAGUUUAUGUUCAAGUGAAUUAUUUAUUUAUAAAUACUUUAGAUUUUGGGUUAAAUUUAAGUGUGGGAAACACUCGAGCGUGUCAAUUAUAAACUUUGAUUAUCUGAUUAUAGUGGAUUAUUUGCUACUGGCUCUCCCGUGGAUGUAGGUAUUGAUACUUGAAUUGAACUACGUAAAUUUAUAGUAUAUUUAUUAUUUCUCGUUUAUUUCUCUAGUGAUUUUGUGUUGACGUAAAUUGCAAGAUUCUGUCAUUUCUGCAUAUUAUAUUUCAACAAUGUAUAUGUGUUCCCUAUGCUUCUGUCCUUUCGGAAGGAGGAGCUUGUGAGCAAUGACUACGAAAUACCUUUAUGAUGCUAUAGUUAAUGAAAAUGAGAAUGAGAGAGAGAGAGAGAGAGAGAGAGAGAGAGAGAGUACUUUUAUGAUGCUAUAGUUUAUUUUACCAUGGAUUCAAGUUUGAAGCUUCGUUGAUUUAUCUUUGUAGAAAUCCUUUACCGAUCUGAUUUCUUUCCUAGACUGGGAUGGAUGUUGAUCAGAUCCACAUGGAAUGAAUUAUCCCCAGAGUGGUCUAAGGCAUAUCCUUAUGGUUUGAUAUAUGUCGGUUUUAAAUCACAUAUGUUUAUACCUUGUGUCUCCCUCAAUUUUCUUUGACGACGCUAACUUUCUUGGAUGACUGGUCGAGGCUACGGGAGAACCACAAAAAGUUGACAAUUUAUUCGGCCCGAAGUGUUUAGAACUUAUAAUUUUGGUGAGAAUGCAAGUGGAUCAUUUCAGUCCUCUACAGUUACUUUGCAAGUUUUGCAUGUAUCUCAUCUAGUUGUAAAUUUAUCACUGAUUAUUCAUGCUAUGCUCAUGGUAGAGGGCUUCUAAUGGCACUCUUUCGCAUUGUCCUUGCUUGUAUUAAUGUUUCUGCAGUUGGAUACUUUCUUUCUCUCUUACUCACACAAUGUUAUGAUGCUUUCUCCCAUGUUCUAGGAUUGUGUUCCGAGGAUAGCAUAUGAAGGAGUAGUAAUUGUAGAAAAUUUAUUCACAUAAACAAUUAAUCAAUCAUGAAAAACGGAUCCAUACAUGAUUGUAAAAAAUUUAUUCACAUAAACAACUAAUCAAUCAUGAAAAACGGAUUCAUAUAUGAUUGUAAAACAUCGAUCAAUAAAUACAGCGGAAUUAAAGUGUACAUUUUUGAGCCAUUGCUUUGCUUGAAGAAAAGUAGAUCACCCUAAUAAUCAGGAAUCUAUUGGAAUGCCAGAUCUUCAUUUCUAUGAGCUAUUUCGAUAUAGCAGCUUUCAAUGGGAUUAAAGCAACUGAUAAGUAUAACUUACCUUUUUAUACACUGAACCUAGCAAACCCUAAUCAACAGCGUGUCAAUUGGGCCAUUCCCAUUACAAGCUUCAGUCAAACACAAUUACCUACACUUUGCUACUCAACCAGGCCCGUUAUCAAUAGGUGCCAAUACCCAAUUCAAUCAGAUCACUGUAGGGUUCGACAAAUAUUUGAAUAUCCAUUAACCCGAUUAUUUAAAAUAGAAAAUCAAUUAAUUAAUGUAAGCCCAUAUAAUAGGAAAUUUCCAAUAGUAAUCUCCCGGUAUCCACCACCAAGAUGUGUUUCUAGUGAAUCCGAAUUCUUUCGGGCUGCUUGGGAUCAAAGGUACGACGCUGGUAAAUCAUGGUCAUACUAGCUUAACAAAUCUUGUUGCUCCCGAAGGUGCGUUUUCUUCUGUCCCGACCGAAAGAAAGGUGCUUUUCCACUUGGGUGGGUCGGAGCAGGGAGGACUAAAAUGUAAGUGAGCCUUACGGGGCGGUGGUUGUUAAAAGUAGGGAAUUCACGUCCGUCUCUAUAUACAAAUACGUCAUGUCUGGCUGCAUUGUCCCUCAUAAUUCGCAUGAAUCCAUUAGCAAAUCUUCCAGAGAAGUCAGUGACGGGGGCACGCUAGUGCACCAUUGGUCGUUUCUUCUGCAAAAGAGCCCCUAGACGUUCAAUUUCUAGAGUUUGAUGAAUCCCAAGCAGCAGAUAGCAUAUAUUUAAAGAGGUCCUUUUGCUUAUUAAAUUGUGUGAAUCAUUAAAAAAAAAAAGGAAAAAAAGAAAGAAAAAAAGGAGAUGCUAUAGGAGAGUCAAUAAUCUUUACCGACGCACCGUGCUCAUAUCCAUUGGUUUUUAGCCGUAGAGUAUCAUAAUUUUUUGUGUGGACAAGAUCUAUGAUCGUGUAAGCACAACAAUUCAUUAAUUCACGCAUCCCAUCAUAUCUUUCGGCUUAGUUUGUGAACGGGAAUUAAGGAACGCCCAUUUCUCAUCCGCUUGUCCCCGUGUGAAUUCGUUGUCCGUUGGAUCAGAAUGUUCGUACCUUCAUUUUUUGACAUUGACAGGAGAGAAUUAAUAAGCGGUCUACGCAUGUAUACAAUGAAUGGAUAAGUACUUUGUUUUUGGUCAGUGACUCAGUGGAUAAGUACUUUGUUAGUGGAUUAAUAAAUUAUUGAGCUGGGAUAUUCCAUCUGCCUAAAUUAUUCCCCUCAGGAUAAGAACGGCCCCACUUGAGGAAUGUACUAGAGUUUUCUCGGAGUUUCCUCUACUGGGCUGUCGUCUCUAGCCGUCAACCUGCUAUAAAGAUUUGGAAAAAGAGUACUCUUUCUUUAUUGAGAAAAGAGAAGGGGGCAUUAAAAGAAAAUGUCUCCUGUGCAGCAGCAGCCGCAGCAGCUGCUCCUCGGCCUCCUCCUCGCCUCCGUGGUAUUCGCGACCGUCUCCCGGGCCGCCGGCGACGUCGGCACGGCUGCUUAUUACAGCUCUCCGUACACGCGUAAGUCCUUGACCCCGGAAAAACAAGAAGGGAGGAUUAGAAAAGAGAGAGGAGCUUGCUAAAUCCCGUUCUUUUCUUGCUGUUGGUUUAGCGACGGAAUGCUACAGAGAUGACCCGUCCCAGCUUCCUCCGAGCAACAUGUUCGCGGCGGCGGGCGGUGAGCUGUGGGACAACGGGGCGGCCUGCGGCCGCGUGUACGCUGUGUGGUGCGUCGGUGCGUCUCAGUCCGUCCCUUCCAACUGCGCGAGCGACCUCCCAAUUGAGGUCAAGAUCAUCGACAACGCCUUCUCGGCGGAUUCCUCGGCCGCAGCGUACAAGCAGUCCGUGACCGGCGCCGCGUUGGUCCUGUCCGAGGACGCGUUCAAUGCUAUCGCUAAGCCAUUCGCGGAUUCCAUCGAUAUCAAAUUCCAAGUGUAAGGAAUGAUUCUUCUUCUUCUUCUUCUUCUUCAGUCGCCCUGUUCAGAUUGAAAUGCAGAGAGAGAGAAGGGCGGGGGGGGGGGGGGGGGAGUUGGAGGAGACGAUGCUACAGUGGCUUUUGACGUUUGAGGGGUUUGGGUGUUGUUGUGGUUGGGUGCACAGCCACUUCGGCAGCAACGCAGAUUUUUUUUAAUGUCAUCUUUUGUGUACGUGUAGGGUUUGAUUCUGGAGAGAUGCGAUUGUGCAUCUGAAGUAUCAACUUUGCCAGCAACAAAUUAGUAGAACUCAAUUAUGCAGUCUUAUAUCAAUUGCAUUCACUAUCUACUCAUGUGAAUAACUGUAAUUGUUAUUGUUUUUGUCCAUGACAUUUCCUCCGUUGAAAUAAAAAGCUAUCUCCGGGUCUCCCUAUUCAACUCCAAAGUGAUUACCAAAUUCAUAAGAUUGAGGAAUUUUAUAAUUAGAAUGGAAUGAUGAUAUGUAUGUGUGGAGGAAUAUGUAUAGUCAAUUUCUUUGCCUUGCGAUAUGGAAUGCUUUACCCAGGCAAAUUAGUUAUGGGAACAUACAUUUCUAGGGGCAAAGCAUUAUUGUGGAAAUAUAAAUUUCAAAGGUAGUGCACGGGGUACACAUAGUAGAUGAACUUUUGUCAUGUGGACUGGUGACAAACAGCGCCUGCAGGACAACAUCGGUGAGUUGACAGGUUUCUAGGAUAUCCAGUUCUGACGGUCGGUCCAAGAAUUUUUCGUAAAACAUAAAGCCCAGCUUGGAAUAUUCUAUAGGCUUAUCUAUUCUGCUUAGGCCGCUAAACUUCAAAAAGUAGAAGCAAAAAGGACAUCACUCUGUCCAAUUGGAUGAGGACAAGGUGGUUGCUAACAAAUCAAGCCAACUUGUUUAAUGAUUACUAAGUCAUUAGGGAAGCGAUCAAACAAUCAAAAGCGCUGAAGUCACAGAACCUAUGAUUGCCGCCAUACCUAGAGGACCAACUGUUUAUCCAACAGAAGGUACUCCUAUGCCAAUUGUUGUACCAACUGUUUAUUCCCUCGCUCUCUCUCCCCCUGCAUGGGCGGGUCGGAGCAGGAAGGACUAAAACGUAAGAGAGCUACAUAGCGCUGGUUGUCGAAAGUGGGAAUUCACGUCUAUCUCCGUAUACAAACACGUCUUACCAAGCCAAAUCCCGCUAAGAGGAACUUCUAGUCAUGUGUUUGUGUUGUGAAAGUGAAAUGACAAGCUAGGGUUUCGGCAUGUCCGUAAGCAAAUUUUCUACGGAAGUCCUAAUAGGAGCAUGCUAUUGCAUUAUUGGUUGUUCCUUUUGCAAAGGAGCUUCUAGAUGUUCAAUUUCCGAAGUUCGAUGAAUCUGAAACGGUAGGUUUACAUAUUUAAAAAGUCUUUAUUGAGUAACCUUAUUAAAUUGGGUGAAUCACAAAUAAAAAAAAGAGUAAAAGAAGAUAUUAUUGGAAAGCUGACAACUUUUAUCGACGUGUCAUUUUUAUAUCCAUUAGUUUUUAGCUAUAAAAUAUCAUAAUUUUCGUGUUGACAAUAUUAAUGAUUGUAUUUGUAAUAGCUGAGGAGGACUGGGAGUUGAGCAGUCAAAGAGUAAAAAAAAGAAAAAGAAAAGAAAACGACUGAGAGCCGCAUAAAAGAAAGGAGGGGUUCGUCUUUUGAACAGUGACAGCGAGGAAAGACAUGCAAAAAAAGAGAAAAUGGGUUGAAAAGUCAGCAACAGCAGAAAAAAGGAGGCUAGUCUAAAUAAAAGACCGACAGCUAAAGGAAAGGAGCCAAAAAAAGAAGAAAGAAAGAGGAAUCAGGAAAAGAGAAAGGGCUUUUGCAUCCAUGAUAGGUCUCGUCAAGUAAAUUCAACUAUGUAAGGCAACACUCAAUAAGUAUUUGCGCCUCUCAUUUGUCGAUCGAGAUAAUUUUCAAAUUUAUGGCUUAAAUUCAGAAUUUUGGAGGGGAUUAUGUCAUUGUAGAGCCAUGGGAUUUGAUGAAGGUUGAUUUGAAGCAAUAGUUUUGUUUGAGCGAAAUUUUAGGGUUUCGAGAUUGAGUUUCGUGUGCUUUUAGUUAUUUCGUAAUUCAUGUAGAGUUUUGUUGAGUUUAACGCUAAUUCUUGUUGAUUGCAAGAUCAUUGGCUCAUUUAGUUACGUGAUUCCCAGAUAAGUGGUACCAUCUCCCUUGAAUUUGUAAAACUUAUAUUUGGAAAAUGCUACGAAUAAUCGCAUGUUUCAUUGCAUAAGAACCAAAUCGAGCAUUUACCACUCUUUGGUUGUUUACAAAUUUUUAGAAAUCGUGCUAUGUAAGGUAUUAUAAAAUAAUUUUUUUUGUAAAACCUUUGCAACUAGUUUAUGAUAGGGUUUAUAAAUGAUUUAAGAAAUGAUUGAGAAGUGGCGGAUGGGCUGCGUUGUAAAAAUUUAUUUGCUUGAUUUAUGAGACAUUUUAAAUUUGGAUUUAUGGUAUUAGAGGAUGGUUGUUUUAUGCUCAAUAUAACUAUGAAUUCGGUGAGGGGUUUGUGCGAAUGCAUACCGAUUUAGGAUAUUUUUCUAGGUUGAAUCGCUAGCUUUGUAAGUGGAAACUUUAUUAAUGAGGAAUUUUGAUUGCCUUAUCACCAUAUGUUAUGUCGUGAUCAUGAUUUGAUAUUGAACAAUAAAUUGGUCGAUGAAAUGGAUUAUCAACGUGCAAUAGAAUAAACCAUUGAUAUGUAAAUUAUCAAGAUUUAUCAAUGGAUUGGACAAUUGACGCUAUUGUUUUAAUAUUGUUGAGUAGAUGAGUAUAUUUGACUUCUAAAAAGCUUUGUUGAAAUGAAACAAUGCAUAUAUGAUUCGAUAAAUUGUUUAAUCUACUUAAAAGAUAUAUACACUAUUCACUGGGUUAUGAUUGUUUAUUGCAUUCAUUUUUUGUAUUUUUAAGUCGUAGAGGGUUAGCAUUAUUUAUGGGGAUUUUGAGAGUUAAAUUUCGGUGGUUCAAAGUUGCGUCCUUUGAGGGGUGGACAGUCAUGUCAUUAUCCUAUCUGAAUUCAGGGUGUGACCGUAUUAGGACCACGAUUUAUUAGUUAAUUCAGGGGUGCCUUAUUUUUUCUCCAGCCUCGUUUGACAAAGGGAAUAAAGGAAAGCAUCUCUCAUCCGCUUCUCUCCGUGGGACCAGAGCCUCUGUUCCUGCAUUUUCAACGUGGAGAGAACCAUUUGGAUAAAGGAUAAUCUAGCUAUAAGUCCAACGAGGGAGUCAACUGAGGGAGUGACGUCAUCACGAUGACAGAACUAUUUGGAUAAAGGAUAAUCUAGCUAUAAGUCCAACGAGCAAGUCAACUAAGGGAGUGGUUGAAAAAAAAAACUAAGGGAGUGACGUCAUUAGGUGAGAACGGGCCCCACCAUUGGGAAUGUACUAGGGCUUUCUUUAUUGGGCUGUCUUCUCGGCCCGACACCCCGCUGCAAAGAUCGGGCAAAAAGGCAUUCUUCUUGAUCUAAAACAGUGCCUUCUGCACAGCAGCAGCAACUGCUCCUCAGCCUCCUCCUCGCCUCCGAGAUCUUGUCGAUCGUCUCCGGUGCCGCUGGCGGCGACAGCAUGGCUGCUUAUUACAGCUCUUCGUACACGCAUAAGUCCUUGACCUAGAGAAAAAAAAAAAAAAGAGGGAGGAUCAAAAAGAGAGAGGAGCUUGCUAAAUCCCGUUUAUUCUUGCUAUGGGUUUAGCGAGGGAAUGCUACGGCGAUGACCCGUGACAGCUUCCUCCGAGCAACCUGUUCAUCAUCUUCUUCAUCAUUGUAGGCGACGACAUGGGGUUACAAUGUCUUCUUACAUUCAGCAAUGAACAUGAAAAUCAAAGCUCAAGCAAGCGAAAAAGUGGGAAUUCACGUCUAUCUCUAUAUACAAAUACGUCAUGUCCGGCUGUGUUCCCCCUCAUAAUUCGCAUGAAUCCAUUAGCAAAUCUUCUAGAGAAGUCAGUGACAAGCGUACGCUAGUGUACCAUUAGUCGUUCUUUCUACAAAAAAGCCCCUAGACGUUCAAUUUCCAGAGUUCAAUGAAUCCCGAACAGCAGAAGGAGAAGCAGAAGGCAGAAGCAGAAGGAGGAGGAGGAGGAGGAGGAGGAGGAGGAGGAGGAGGAGGAGGAGGAGGAGGAGGAGGAGGAACAGCAGAAGGAGGAGAAGGAGAAGCAUAAGGAGAAGGAGGAGAAUGAGAAGGAGCAGAAGAAGGAGAAGAAGGAGAAGGAGAAGAAGAAGGAGAAGGAGAUGUUAUUGGAGAGCCAAUAAUCUUUAUGGACGCGUCAUGCUCAUAUCCAUUGGUUUUAAUUGUAGAAUAUCAUAAUUUUUUGCGUGGACAGAUCUAUGAUGUAUAGCACAACGAUUAUAAUCAUGAGUCCCUCGUGUUUUCGGUUUAGUCAUGAAUGGGAAUUAAGGAACGCAUUUCUCAUCCACUUCUCCCCGUGUGAAUUUGUUGUCCGUCUCAAGUAGGAGUUACAAACCCUAACAAAUUGUGUAAGCCAAACUCAAGAAUCUAGUAGGGAGUGGCUCUUAAAGGAGGAAAUUGAAACCUUAUGGAGAAGAGAGGAGAUGUUCUGGGGUUAAGAUCUUGAGUCAAUUGGCUAAGGUGGGGAGAUAAAAAUACGAAAUAUUUUCAUACAGCUACUAUCCAAAGGAGACUAAAAAACAGAAUUACUAUGCUGAAUAAUUCAUUUGAGCAUUGGAUAAGGGAUACGCAACAACUUCAGAACCUCACAAUUUCUUUCUUCAAAGACUUGUACACUUCAAUAGGGCUCAGGAAUUGUCAACCGGUAUUGGAUCAAUGCCCCACAAUAGUUGGGAAUGAUAUAAAUGAAUGACUGGUGGCAGAAAUAACUUUGGAAGAAGUUCAUGAUGUUGUUUUUCAACUUGGUGCACAAAAAGCUCCUAAUCCAAAUGGCUUAAAUGAGAUUUUCUUUCAACACCAUUGGGUUAUAAUCGGUAGGGACAUUUUUGAAGAAGUUGGGGUUAUUUUCAGUCAAGGGAAUUGGAACCAGCCCUUAAUAGAACCCAUAUAACCUUAAUUCCGAAGAUACCCAAUCUAGAAAAACUUGACCAAUUUCGCCCUAUUAGCCUUUGCAACUUCACAUACAAGAUUAUAUCUAAGAUUAUGGCAAAAAGACUUAAAAAAUGGUUGCUGGUGCUAAUUUCAAGGGAACAAAGUGCCUUUGUCAGUGGAAGACAGAUCCAUGAUAAUAUAUAUAUUGUACAAGAGGUGCUACACUAGCUGCGAAUGAGGACAAGGAAAAAAAAUUUCCAAGAGGUGCUGAAAUUAAACAUGAAGAAAGCCUAUGAUAUAAUAGAAUGAGAUUUCCUAGAAGGAUACUUACUGAAAAUGGGUUUCUACGAAAAAUGGGUUAAGUGGAUUAUGCAAUGUGUUACAACAAUCUCUUUCAGCAUCAAAUUCAAUGGAACCCCUUCCUUAUUUUAACCCUUCCAAAGGUAUUAGACAAGGGGACUCGUUAUUACCCUAUCUCUUUAUCUUGGUGGCAAAUUGUUUGUCUUCUUUAAUGGAAAAAGCUCUAAAUGAUGGGAGUAUAAAAUGAAUCAAGUUAAAUAGGCACCUUGACCCAUUUAUUAUUUGUGGAUGACUCUAUAUUUUUUCUAGAUGGGUCCAUACAAGAAUGUCAAAAUGUCUUAACUUUGCUAAAUCAAUACCGUUAUGCCUUAGGACAAGUAGUAAAUUUAAACAAAUUAGGUAUUUUUUUUUUUUCAGUAAAGAUUGCCCUCAAGUAUUAAGGGAUAAUAUGGCUAGAGAAUUGAGAGUUCCAAAGCUAGAUCGGACAAGAAAAUACUUAGGAAUCCCCUCUGAUUGGGGAGCCUCAAAGAGACAGAUGUUUGCAUGGAUUUUGGAAAAGGCAAACAUGAAAUUGGAAAGCUGAAAUGAACAAAUUAUAUCAAAGGCAGGCAAGGAGAUCUUCCUAAAAUCAGUGGUGCAGGCAUUACCACAAUAUGCUAUGUUAGUUUUUAAAAUCCUGGUAUUAGUUUGUAAAGCAAUUGAGAAGAAAAUAGCCAACUUCUAGUGGAAAAACAAUGAAACAAGAACUUGUUUGCAUUGGAAGAAAUGAGAAAUUAUGAAAUCUAGGAAAGAUAGGGGAGGAAUGGGUUUCAAGGAUCUACUUAUUGUAAACAAGGCCCUCUUGGAUAAACAAGCUUGGAUAUUGGUUAAAAAUCCAGAUUCGUUAUGGAGCAAAUUACUCAAAGGACUCUAUUUCUAUCAAAAAGACUUUUGGCAUGCUGAGAAAGGAGCCAAGCCUUCAUGGGGAUGGUGAAGUCUGCUUAUAGGAAGAGAGGUCAUAUCAAACUCAGUGAGGUGGUCAAUUGGAAAUGGACAAAAAAUCUACAUCAGAACAGACAAAUGGCUAAAGAGAGGAUUGAUUGGGGGGCUGGCAAACAAAAAUGAUCUACAAAAAGUUUCCGAAUUGAUGAACUUUGCAAUGAAACAAUGGAAUGAGCAACUUAUAAAUAAUCUCUUUGAUGAACAGACUACCCAGGAGAUCCUUGCAAUUCCAAUUAAUAGGUUGAUUUCAAAUGAUGAACUGGUAUGGACAGGGACAAAGAAUGGGUCAUUUACAGUAAAAAAUGGCUACAACACAUCAAGAGAACAGAUGACAACCAAGGUAGCAACUGAACACCCUUCUUCUUCCUACCAAGCACCAAGAACACUAUGGACUGUUAUAUGGAACAUGAAGAUCAGCCCUAAAGUUAAAAUAUUUAUCUGGAAUGUCUACCAAAACGCCAUCCCAUCCAAGGAUAAUUUAUGGAAAAGAAAGAUCUUACUUAACCUCGUUUGUGACCUUUGCCAAGAAAGGGUGGAAACGGCCGAGCACAUCUUCCUCCUCUGCCCGUGGACUGCACAAGUAUGGAACAAUCCGGAAGUAAAAAUUCAGAUAAGUAUACAAGAGGUUACCCGAAUCAAUGCGUAGUUGACGUUUUUUAUAAGGAAAAACACUCACUUACCAUCCUUGGAAGCGAUUCAAACAUCAUUUGGCAAAUUUGGAAAGCGCGAAAUAACCUUAUUUUUCAAGGAAGGAAGUCGGAUGCCUGCAACAUAGUAGGUCUGGAUCGGUUUCAGCAAAGAAGCUAUGAGAAAUGGGUCUGUCAACACCCUCAAGCAAGAAAAUUAGAGGAAAAUGACAUACCUCAAAUAUGGGUAGCUCCAGAGACGGGGACAAUGAAGAUCAACAUUGACGGGUCAGUAAGUGAGGGCUCAACAGAAGGAGCUAUAUCCGGCAUCAUUCGCGACUCCUCUAGUUGACUCAUCGAUGGUUUUACUAGGAUAGUUUGAGUGGCUUCAGUCGCUCAACUGGAAACCCUAGCUCUGGUAGAAGCUUUGAAGUAUGUCAAGAAGAUGUAGAUGGGUGCUGUUUCUGUAGAGUUCGACUACCAAAGCCUGAUAUGAUCUCCAAAAGAAGUAGAAGACUUUAACUGGGAUGCACGUGGUCUCUAGUUAGAGUGCAGAGAGUUGCUAUAGAAUCUACCACUUGUGGGCCUUCAUUUCUGUCAAAGAAUUGCUAAUGGAGUAGCGGAUUGGGCCGUGCUCGAGUAUAGAGAAAAAAAUGUUACUGCCCAAUUGGCUUUUAUAUCCUCCUCUGGCCCUUUGGGCCUUACUAUGUCAUGCCGCCCCACUUUUGGGAGCCACUGGUUCUGCAUUAGUUUUGAUCUAAAUAAAUAAAACUUUGUUUUUAACCAAAAAAAAAAAUUUCAUUAUCUGUUGGGUCAUAAUCUCCGUACAUUCUUUUCUUGACAUUGACAAGCGAGAUUUGGUAAUGGGUACAUGCAUGCAUACGAUGAGUGUAUUAGUAAUUGUUAGUGGAUUAAUAAUUUAUUGAGCUGGGAUUUUCCAUGUGCCUAAUUCUCCUUAUUAGGAUAAGAAUGGCCCCACUUGAGGGAAUGUACUAGAGUUUUUUCGAGUUUCCUUUAUUGGGUUGUCGUCUCCACCUCUCAGCUGGCUAUAAGAUUUGGAAAAUGAGUAUUCUUUCUUUAUCGAGAGAAUGGGAAAUAACAUUAAAAGAAAGAGAAAAGACCACAAAGACCCUAAACUUUACUCAAAGUGACAUAUUUACCCUAAACUUUUUUUUGUGACAUGAAAAAUCCCAAAAUUUGCAAACCGUGACACAUUUACCCCACUAAAGGUAUUUUCGUCUUAUUUUUUUAUGUUUUUUCUUUUUCUUUUUUUUCCUUCUUCUCUCUUCCCUCCGCCGACCAUGGUAAAGCUGGCGGAGGGAAGUCGGAGUCAACUGAGGGUUGCCCUAGCCAGCCUAGGUGACGGUCCCUCGCUUGCGUUGGGUGAGGGGUGCCCUUGCCAGAUCUGGUGAGGGAGGCCCUCGUCGGACCCAACCAAGGGCUGCCCUCACCUGACGCCAGCAAGGGCAAUCCUCACCCUUGCCUGACUUUGGCUUCCCUCCACUAGCUCCACCAUGGCCGAUGGAGGGAAGAGAGAAGAAAAAGAAGAAAAAAUUUUAAAAGUAAAAGACUAAAAUGCCCUAUAAUUUAGAAUAAAUGUGUCAAACAAAUAUAAAUUCAGGAUUUUUUGUGCCACGAAAUUUUUUUUUGGGUAAAUAUGUCAAGGUUAGUCAAGUUUAGGGUUUUUCAUGUCAUAAAAAAAGUUUUAAGUAAAUUUGUCACUUUGAGCAAAAUUUGAAGUUUUUGGUGGUCUUUUUCCUAAAAGAAAUUACUCAUGUGCAACAGUUGCAGCAACUACUCCUUAGCCUCCUCCUUGUCUCCAUGGUAUUCGUGACCAUCUCCGAGGCCGUCAGUGACAUUGGCACAACUACUUAUUACAGCUCUCCGUACACGUGUAAGUCCUUGACCCCAAAAAAAGAAGAAAGGGAGGAUUAGAAAAGAGAGAGGAGCUUGCUAAUUCCCAUUCUUUCCUUGCUUUUGGUUUAGCGACGGAAUGCUAUAGAGAUGAUCCAUAUAGAAAAUGGAAUGCCGACAUGUAUUUGGAGGAAAAUGUAAUGAAUAUGCAUAUUCACUUGCUCCAUCUUGUGAUGUGGAAUGGUUCAUCCGGACAAUUGGUUAUAGGAACAUACAUUUCAAGUUGGGGGGGGGGGGGUUGUUCUAGAAAUAUAAAUUUCAAGGAAGUGCAUGGGGUAGACAUAAUUAAUGAAACAUUGCCUAGUGGGCUAGUGAUAAACGGCACCUGUAGGACAACAUUGGUGAGCCAACAACUUUCUAGGAUUUCCAAUUCCAACACAAGGCCUAAGAUUUUUUUGUAAAAUAUAAAGUCGACAUUGGAGUAUUCUGCUUAGUCAAGAUUUCUAAGCAAACUUGUUUAAUAUUUUUCACUUUUCAGGAUGAAGAAAAAAUUUUACUCUCUCAGUUUUUCUUAUCUCACCCCAAUUUUAACCUUUCCAUCUUUCUUUUAUUCUUUUUUUUUUCCAUUUUUAAAAAAUUCGAAUUUUUAAUUAUUAGUCUUUUUUUUUCUUUUUUCACUUCUAUCUUGGCUUAGGUGAGCUCAAAGCUCACCGAGCUCUACAAAAUUGCGGCUCACCAAAUCGGCAAGCUCGAGGCUAGCCCAUUCAACAAUGAGCCAAGCGUGUGGCCAGCUAAGGCUCAAGACCUGCCCAAUCGACGGUAAGCUAGGGCUCGAGCUAGUAGUUUGAAGGCCUGCCACUUGCUUGGCUCACCAAUUUGGCAAGGCUCAAGGCCUCUAGCUUGAGCUUCGCUAGAUCGGCGAGCUAAACUAGCCGAAGAAGAAGAUAAAAGGAAAGAAAAGAUAAUAAAAAUAAAAAUAUAUUCUUUUAAAAAUAAAAAAUAAAAUAAAAAAUUAUUGAAAAAGAUGGAGGAAAAUAAUUUUUUUUUUAUCGAACAUCAUAAUACAUUUUCCAUUUCAUUUUCAAGUUUUAGGCGAAUACUGACAAAUAAUUAUAUUUUCUUAGAAAAUGACUUUUUAAGAAAUAUUUUUUAGAAACGCCAUAUUUUUCAAGAAAUGAAAGGGCCUAAAGGAGGAGUCAGGCUUAUUGUGUGAUAUUCCGAUUUUCCAAUUCUAUUUUCAAUAAAUUGAGACGGGCAUUUCGUUGGCACGCAUAUAGUUCUCCUCCUUGAGUCGACUACUCAUGUGAAAACUAGUCUAUCGGGUAAGCCGUUAAGAAAUUCUAAUGCAUCAGACUUGAGAAUUUGACUAGGAAGCGAUCUUUCGGCCAAGCUAAUUUGUAAGAGUCAUUAUGGCACAAUUUAAAAAUCGAUUAGAGAUCGGAGAUAGGUCGACUCAACAGAGGCAUGUGAUCAGGUGUGGGUGAUUUCAUCAGAUCGCACAAUUCUUGUCGAUCGGCACUGGACCGACUUUUCUGUCGAUUGGGUAUCCCGUGUUCGUAUUUGAAACCUUGAGAUUACCCCGACAACCGAAAUUCAUCAAUGUUUCAAAGAUGUACAUUGUGGCUUGAGAUGAUCAACCACAUGUCAAAUGCAUGAAAAUUUCUAAAGGCUACCCGGUAGGUUGGGCCGUGCUAGUAACGUGCCAAAGUGAAAUUAACCGUGGAAUUGAGAUCGAAUUCAGAAAUUGGAAGUCUGGGUGUGUCACAAAUCAUUUUAGGAAUAUUGACUCGUCUUUGGAAGAUUUUUUAUGCAAGCCGAGUUUUUCGACAAAAUAAUUAAGGUAUGGUUAAUUUGGCUCGAGAAAUUAGUAGGCCCGCCCUUAGUUGUGCUUUUGGGACUUAAGUUGGUUUUAUGGACAAGUGAAGAUGUGAAUUGAAGUAUAGUGACAUUGGAUUAAUUUUAUGGACUUCAAUUUGGUUCAAUUGGAAGAGAAUUGAAUGGAUUUGAAGAAAUUAAUGUACAACAUUUCAUGCCUCGGCGGAAAAUGAAAUUGAACCUAUUGGAAUAAGGUUAUGGGAGUUGGGAGAUAGUGGAAGAUGACAUCACCUUAUGUCAUGGUGGUUGAAGCCAAGUGAUGAGAGCUUGACAAGUGGAGGGUGGAGAUUUAAUCUCAAAAAGCCACCAAUCAACAUCAUCUUCAAACUUGGGAAGAGAGAGAGAGGGGGGAGGAGCUGCUCGUGCGACCAGCCAACCGGAUGCCACCCCUUCGCCGCUCAAUGCCGCCAACUUCGUCGGAGAAGCUCGCCGCCGCCGUCGUUCGUGCGCGUCGCCCGCGCACCGCGCCCGCUCGUCGUCGCACCACCCCUGUCGCCUCCAGCCUUCGUCCGCGCGACCCCGAGCCUCCAGCCCUCCGUCCAGCUGCUGUUCGGAGCCGCCGCAUGUCGUCAGAAGCCCCACCUAGCCGCCGUGAGUCACCGCCCGAGUUGCCACCGCCUAUCUCCGUUGAGUUCACGCUCGAACCGCCGCCGUGCAGCCCUUCGUCGGCCUCAACCAGCAGCCAAGAAAAUGGGUAUGGCAGCCCAGUCUUGGCCCGUUUUGGCCGCCUUCCCGAGCUCGGAUGCUCGGCUCGACUUGAGGAAAGUCGAUCCUCGCGUCGUUCUUGUCGUUUUGGUCCGCUUAGCUCACUAAUCCGGUGAGUUUAGCUCACUAAACCUCGCUUAGAGGGUUAAUUAUGCUUAGGGAGGUUUAGUUUAUGUUAAGUAUUAUUAGGUUAUUAGUUUAGGUUAUUUAAGAGUAGAUUAGAUUAAGGUGGUGUUUUAAUUUAAAGUGUGUUUAAUUAAGGGUAAGUAGGUUUAUUUAGAAUAAGCCUUGAUUUGACAUAAAUGAAUUUACUUUUGAUUUUAUUUAAAUGUCUCAAAAUUAUUAAAUAAUUUAAUAAUAUAUUAUUAUUGGAAAUUAUUAAAAUAUUAUUAUUUAAUUAUUUCCGGAAUAAAUUUAAUUAUUUAUUAAAUUCCAAAAAUUUUGUUAGGACCCCAAAUUGUUAGAAUUUCGUGCCGGUCGCUGCUGUGUAGUCAGAUUUUGAAAUUGAUGGUUGGAUAUUAUAAAUUAAGUGUGGAUCGUGAAAAAUAUGGAUAUUAUUAUUUAAUUAAUUUUCAAAAUAAAUUUAAUUAUUUAAUUAAUUUUCAAAAUAAAUUUAAUUAUUUAAUAAAUUUCGAAAAUUAUUUUGGGACCUUAUUUUCUUAGAAUUUCGUGUUGAUCACUACUGUGCAUUUAGAAUUUGAAUUUGAUGAAUGGAUGUGGCAAAUGGAGUGUGAUUGCGAUAAAUAGAGAUUCUUUUUAUAAAAUCUCAAGUGUGAUGGAAGAGCGACCGUAUUUGACCACCUAUUAGAGGUUAUGUCCAGUGGGGCCGUGAUUGACCACUUAUUAAAAGUUGUGCCCAGUGGAGCUGUGAUUGACCACCUAUUAAAGGUUGUGCCCAGUGGGGCUAUGAUUGACUACCUAUUAGAGGUCGUGCCCAUCGGGCCGAGAUCUACCACCUAAUUAAAAGUCGUGCCGAGUAGGGCCGUGAUUGCCACUGGUUGUUAAACCUUCCUAUAAGGUCGUGAUUGGAAACAACGAUUGAUUUGCUAGAAUGACAUAUAAUCGGCCGAGUUGAUUGAUCGCUGAGAUGAUCCAAGUGGUUGAAUUGUUAUGAUAAUGUGAUUGUGCCAUAGUUGUUUGGUUAUCAUAAUUGCACGUGGUUGAAUUAUAUAAAUUGUGCUAACCUACAAAUGAAGACUAAUGCGAGGUAAGUGUUCUGUGUGAUGUGGCUAGGCUACUAGGAGCGUAUUUUCUUUCUAAUAGGGGUUUAGGGGUAGAACUUGUUGAGACAUUGUCUCAUCCUGAUUGUGGGAUUAAAAUUUCAAGUUCCUGGUGGACGGAGUGGCUAGAUAGCUUUGGUUGGCAUUGGGGAGUUGCAGAGGUAAAGUCAUGAGGAUUAAAGAACGUGUCCGACUUGUAGGUCGUAGGACAAUUUAUUUUUAAGAUCCGGUCUUUUGUAGACCUUUGGCUAUAGUUAUGAAAGUGUUAUGGUGUGAAUUUGUUUUCUGUUUUUCUAUCUUGUAUUUUAUUGUCAAGGACUUUAUAAUAUGUUCUGUUUGCGCAAUAAAAAAUGAAUGGGGUCGGCGAUAUUAUCUGGAAAUGUUGCGUUGCAUGACCAUGGUAGGAUGUUGGCGCGCUCGAGGUUGGGGUGUGACAAACCGGGCUGACCCUUGAGAAAUGCUCCACCUAAGAAAAUCUCGGAUCGGGUCGGACUCGAGGGCUCAGAACCGCGCUACGCCGGCGAAGAAUAGCAAAAGCGUCGUCUCCAAACAGCCUUCGGCCGGCUCGCGCCGAUCGUCCUUCUCCAUAAGCCGGUCUCUCGACUCGGCUCGGCUUUGCUCGACUCGCCACUCCUCGUCGUCGUCGACCUCGUCGUCGUCGCUUCCACGGAUCAUCAAACCACCCCACCGUCCGCGCUUGCGAUUCGCCAUUAAACCCUUCUAAAAAAUCCUCAAGCUCCUCUCGCUAGCUCGACCUGAUCCGUGCUUUCCCAGCCGGCCAUGUUCGGUGCUCCCCACGCCUUCCCCGCCGCGUGAUCUUCAGCUGCUACGGCGAUUCCCCCCGCCGCUUCCGGAGAGAUGAUGGUGAACAAGUUCCUCUGCGACUUCCGGUUCCUCCUCCUCGCCGCGGCGGUGGCGUUCAUCUACAUACAGGUGAUUCCUUAGUCCCGAUUCCCUUG
rnacentral:lncRNA from 1 species